AAAAACAAAACAAAAUGCUCUCAAUUUAAUCAAAAGGAUCGAUUCUAGACUUAACCAGGCACUCUAGUCUAAAGAGGAUAUUAUGACUUGAAUUGCAGGAUGCUAAACUGCAGAUUAUUGAAAACCUGAAAAAAUGUAAGAUUAACAUAAAUAUUAUGCACUAAUAAUAAAAUUAAACCUUUGAUAGAUAGAUAAAUCAAUCAAAAGUGCAUGGAAGACAGAAAACAUGAAAAAUUAAAUUAAUCAAAGAACACUCUCCAAAUUGAUGAGUUUUCUCAUUGAAGUAGUAUUAUGUUAUAAAUUAAUUGCUCAUAUUUUUCUCAUCUUAAUUAAUUAUACCAAAAUAAAAAUAUAUAUGUAAACUCACACAUAUUGAGCAAAAAAUAAAUUCAUAAACUAAAACUAACAUCAAUGUAUAAAAGAGACACUGUUACAUUGUACAUCAACUUUAAUAUCUCACAAAAAUGAAAAUAAAAUCGUAGACAGAUAAACACAUACUGAACAAAAAUUAAAUUAAUAAAUUAAAACUAAUAUAUAUCAAUGUGUAACAAAAGACACUUUUUUUGCAACCUAUUAAAUUUAACGUUUCACCUAGAAUUUAACACAACAUAUAUAUGAUUUAUUACGUGGUCAACAUUUAACACGUACGAGAGGAUUAAUAAUUCUCAAUCUUAAUAAUUAGAAUACGGUAGGUAAAGCACGCACGUUUAACCUAUGUUCCCACUUCUCAGUUAAUUAAGAUGACUCGAAAUUCAAAGAAUGUCACUUUCAACCAUUGGUUGCCAAGGGUUAGUAAUUAAGUACUUAAUAAAUUAUAUUAUGCAUGAGCAAUGCAUUCCUAAUUGUUUAAUGAAAAGUGAUCACGGUGGUUUUACUUCUAAUGAAAGCUUCAUCCACCUAAUUAACUCGCCUUUCAGUAUAAACAUAACAUCAAACAUUUAAAACUGCAAAAUCAUAUAUUUUGCACUAAGCAUUUCCAAAAACAUCAUACAUAUGUCUUUUCUAAGAUCCACCAUGUCAAAUGAUCAUUCUAAAUUAACCUUUGAUGAGCUCAGAUGGGUGAUUAACAUCCGCAAAACUCUUGAAGAAGAGGUUGAGGAGGAUGGUGAAUUUGCUGUGUCCAUCUUCAGCGUGCCAAAGCUCCUUAUGGCAAGUGAUCCAGACUCUUAUGUCCCUCAACAGGUUGCAAUUGGUCCCUACCAUUAUUGGCGUCCAGAGCUAUAUGAGAUGCAAAGGUACAAGAUUGCUGCAGCAAAAAGAUUCCAGAAACACCAACAAAGCUGCAAGUUAGAGAAUCUAGUUGACCAGUUGAACAAGUUGGAGCAAAGGGUUCGAGCAUGCUACCACAAGUUCUUGGACUUCAACGGGGAAACGUUGGUGUGGAUGAUGACAGUUGAUGCCGCAUUCUUGCUUGAGUUCCUUCAAGUUUUUGCCAUGCAAGAAGGAGCAAAGGUACAAAGGGUUUCCUCCAGCAUGUCUCAUUUGGUGGACU
rnacentral:lncRNA from 1 species